rnacentral:rRNA from 1 species
CCUACGGGCGGCAGCAGUAGGGAAUUUUCGUCAAUGGGCGCAAGCCUGAACGAGCAAUGCCGCGUGAACGAGGAAGGUCUUCGGAUCGUAAAGUUCUGUUGAAGGGGAAAAAGAGCGGAGCGAGUAAAUGCUUUCUUAUUGAUAUUACCCUUCGAGGAAGUCACGGCUAACUACGUGCCAGCAGCCGCGGUAAUACGUAGGUGGCGAGGGUUAUCCGGAAUGAUGGGGCGAACAGGGUGCGUAGGCGGCCUGCUCAGUCUGGGGGGAACGGUACCGGCUCAACCGGUACAGGCUCUGGAAACUGGAGGGCUAGAGAGCAGGAGAGGGCGGUGGAACUCCAUGUGUAGCGGUAAAAUGCGUAGAUAUAUGGAAGAACACCAGUGGCGAAGGCGGCCGCCUGGCCUGUUACUGACGCUGAGGCACGAAAGCGUGGGGAGCAAAUAGGAUUAGAUACCCGAGUAGUC